rnacentral:rRNA from 1 species
AUUGAACGCUGGCGGCAGGCCUAACACAUGCAAGUCGAGCGGAGCGGCGGACGGGCGAGUAAGGCCUAGGAAUUUGCCUGGUAGUGGGGGCUAACGACCGGAAACGGGCGCUAAUAUCUCAUACUAGCAGUUGAGCAUAGGUGGGAUUAGCUCGUUGGUGGGGUAAAGGCCUACAAAGGCGACGAUCCGUAACUGGUCUGAGAGGAUGAUCAGUCACACUGGAACUGAGACACGUUCCAUACUCCUACGGGAGGCAGCAGUGGGGAAUAUUGGACAAUGGGCGAAAGCCGGAUCCAGCCAUGCCGCGUGUGUGAAGAAGGUCUUCGGAUUGUAAAGCACUUUAAGUUGGGAGGCGUUACCAACAGAAUAAGCACCGGCUAACUUCGUGCCAGCAGCCGCGGUAAUAC